ACGGCUCAGUAACACGUCGGUAACCUACCCUCGGGAGGGGGAUAACCCCGGGAAACUGGGGCUAAUUCCCCAUAGGCCUGAGGUACUGGAAGGUCCUCAGGCCGAAAGGACUUAUGUCCGCCCGAGGAUGGGCCGGCGGCCGAUUAGGUAGUUGGUGGGGUAAUGGCCCACCAAGCCGAAGAUCGGUACGGGCUGUGAGAGCAGGAGCCCGGAGAUGGACACUGAGACACGGGUCCAGGCCCUACGGGGCGCAGCAGGCGCGAAACCUCCGCAAUGCGGGAAACCGCGACGGGGGGACCCCGAGUGCCGUGGCAACGCCACGGCUUUUCCGGAGUGUAAAAAGCUCCGGGAAUAAGGGCUGGGCAAGGCCGGUGGCAGCCGCCGCGGUAAUACCGGCGGCCCGAGUGGUGGCCGCUAUUAUUGGGCCUAAAGCGUCCGUAGCCGGGCCCGUAAGUCCCUGGCGAAAUCCCACGGCUCAACCGUGGGGCUUGCUGGGGAUACUGCGGGUCUUGGGACCGGGAGAGGCGGGGGGUACCCCUGGGGUAGGGGUGAAAUCCUAUAAUCCCAGGGGGACCGCCAGUGGCGAAGGCGCCCCGCUGGAACGGGUCCGACGGUGAGGGACGAAGGCCAGGGGAGCAAACCGGAUUAGAUACCCGGGUAGUCCUGGCUGUAAAGGAUGCGGGCUAGGUGUCGGGUGAGCCUCGAGCUCGCCCGGUGCCGUAGGGAGGCCGUUAAGCCCGCCGCCUGGGGAGUACGGCCGCAAGGCUGAAACUUAAAGGAAUUGGCGGGGGAG
rnacentral:rRNA from 1 species